UGUAAAUUAAAGCUCAAAUCAAAAGCCUUUAUUUAGUAUAAAAUAUAUAUAUUUUGCAGUAUCAUUCAAAAAAUGACAGUUGAUUUUUGGGAAACCACGCAUUAAAUUCCGCGGUUGAAUAUUUAACAAGGCAAACUCCUUAAAAAUGUAAUAUAUGGAAUGGGUGCCAAGGAUGUUUUGGGCAACCAAGGUGAGAACAAAGCCAGCCAAAGGCUGCUCAGCCCACUGUAUACAUUUGCCCCUAUCUGUACAAUUGAAUCCUGAUUACUGAUUGGAGCUAUGCAUUGUGUGAGCAUAUGAAUUAAUUGGAGCAUGUCUGAUUGGAACAAUGUAAACCCUGCCAUACUUAAACGCUACUUAUGCUUUAUUGUGUUCUGUAAUUGAAAGCAAUCAGAGACAGCGGAGAGGGAUAGAGAGAUGGACUUUCAUAUAACUGAAAGGUCGACCAAGCGAAACAGAGCGAAUAGUUGACAGUGGAAGGGGCAAAAGCAGUGGAGAUGAAGAAAGAAAGCAUCGACUUGGGUCUGGUCAUAUUGAAACAGGCAAGGAACUUUGUGUUCAGCUACAACAGCCAGGUGUAAUCACAGUCAUUGACGGCCUCCGUGCCGCUUCCAUGCGCUGUGACAAAAAUUUUACGCUAAAUUUGCCAUGCAUUGCGAGACAGUCGAGAGUCGAGAGUCGAGCUGAGGCGCCUAUCUAGUUGGUAGCAGGAGCAUGACAAUUUAUCAACGGUACGAGUGGCUCGUUAUGGUUGACCUGUGGACUCUUUAAUUCCACCAGACGCGCCUUGAAUUAAACAUGUUAGAUAACAACGGAAAACUCGAACAAAACGAAAAACUGAAAAAUAUAAAAACAAAAUAGCAGCCAGCAGCGAAAGAGGAAAAUGAAAAUGCAGCGCCAACGAAGCUAGAUCCAAAGCUGAAUUAAAAACGCCGUUGGCCUUCAAAAAAGUACGGCCACAAGAGCUGCGGCUAGAGUGUCUGCAACUUUUGUCCGGCCCAAACGACUAUGUAAAGCGCCAACAACAACAACAACAGCAACAACAGCAACUUGAAGCUGCCACAAGAGCAAUCACAAGAACAACAAGCAGAAGCGUAAAAACGUCGCCUUUAUUCUAAUGCCAGCUCAUGCUCUGACUCAGCCAGAACAAAAAGCAACAAAAAACAUGAGUGAUCCAGUUGGGAGUGCUCGACUAGCUGAUACCCUGCUGCGUGAGCAGCUCAUAUAUAGCAAAGCAGAGAUGCGCAGACACACAGCUACAAAAACUCACAUGAGUUAGUUCAGGAUACAUUGAAAAUUAAUAAAUUAUAAAUAAGCACUUUCCUAAUUCCAGUGAUUCCUCCAAUAUACGUAAAGCCUAUUAUAGCUAACAAAA